CCUACGGGAGGCUGCAGUGGGGAAUAUUGGACAAUGGGGGCAACCCUGAUCCAGCCAUGCCGCGUGUGUGAAGAAGGCCCUCGGGUUGUAAAGCACUUUCAGUGAGGAAGAACGCCUGGUGGUUAAUACCCAUCAGGAAAGACAUCACUCACAGAAGAAGCACCGGCUAACUCCGUGCCAGCAGCCGCGGUAAUACGGAGGGUGCGAGCGUUAAUCGGAAUUACUGGGCGUAAAGCGCGCGUAGGUGGCUUGAUAAGCCGGUUGUGAAAGCCCCGGGCUCAACCUGGGAACGGCAUCCGGAACUGUCAAGCUAGAGUGCAGGAGAGGAAGGUAGAAUUCCCGGUGUAGCGGUGAAAUGCGUAGAGCUCGGGAGGAAUACCAGUGGCGAAGGCGGCCUUCUGGACUGACACUGACACUGAGGUGCGAAAGCGUGGGUAGCAAACAGGAUUAGAUACCCCCAGUAGUC
rnacentral:rRNA from 1 species